AGUGAACGCUGGCGGUAGGCCUAACACAUGCAAGUCGAACGGCAGCACAGUAAGAGCUUGCUCUUACGGGUGGCGAGUGGCGGAUGGGUGAGGUAUACACCGGAAUCUACUUUUUCGUGGGGGAUAACGUAGGGAAACUUACGCUAAUACCGCAUAAGACCUACGUUUGAAAGCAGGCGAAUUUCUGACCUUGCGAGAUUGAAUGAGCCGAUGUCGGGUGAUUUAGUUGGCGGGGUAACGGCCCACCAAGGCGACGAAACGUAGCUGGUCUGAGAGGACGGGCAGACACACUAGAACUGAAACGCGGUCCAGACUACUACGGGAGGGAGCGGUGGGGAAUAGUAGACAAUGGGAGCAAGCCUGAUCCAGCCAUACCGCGUGGGUGAAAGAGACCUUCGGGUUGUAGAGCCAUUUUGUUGGGAAAGAAAAGCAGCAGGUUAAUACCGCGCUAAUCUGACGGUACCCAAAGAAUAAGCACCGGCUAACUUCGUG
rnacentral:rRNA from 1 species